AUUGAACGCUGGCGGCAGGCCUAACACAUGCAAGUCGAGCGAGCGGCGGACGGGUGAGUAAUGUCUGGGGAACUGCCCGAUGGAGGGGGAUAACUACUGGAAACGGUAGCUAAUACCGCAUACCAUCGGAUGUACCCAUAUGGGAUUAGCUAGUAGGUGGGGUAAAGGCUCCCCUAGGCGACGAUCCCUAGCUGGUCUGAGAGGAUGAUCAGCCACACUGGAACUGAGACACGGCCCAGACUCCUACGGGAGGCAGCAGUGGGGAAUAUUGCACAAUGGGCGCAAGCCGGAUGCAGCCAUGCCGCGUGUAUGAAGAAGGCCUUAGGGUUGUAAAGUACUUUCAGCGGGGAGGCGUUACCCGCAGAAGAAGCACCGGCUAACUCCGUGCCAGCAGCCGCGGUAAUUC
rnacentral:rRNA from 1 species